rnacentral:rRNA from 1 species
CGCUCUCCCCAAGGACACAAGCCAUGCAUGCCCGCGCACCCGGGAGGCGGCGGACGGCUCAGGACAACGGUUGCACCCCCCGCGGCGGUCCCUGCUAGCCGGACACCGCUGGCAACCCGGCGCCAAGACGUGCGCGCAAGGGCGGGCGCCCGCGGGCGAGCAGCGUGACGCAGAGACGGCCCGCCCGGGCUUCCGGGGCAUCAUCCGGUCGAUCCUGCCUGGCAGAGAAUCUCGCUUCUACUACGGUGCCUGGCGGAGAAUCAGGGUUCGACUA